CACGCUAAGCGUGCAUGUGGCUACUGCUUUCAGUGCUGUCUAAUAGACGAGCCCUGUAUUUAUUCCGUAUUAUGAUCAUGAAUAUAACUAUCAGAAUACUUUAAUACUUUUUAUAUGUAAGUUCAAGAUAGCUUCAAUAUGCUACAUCAAGGUAGCUUUAAAUUUCUCAGUUCUCUUGACAGCUUCAGAAGUUGAGUGUAACACGUGUUAC